AGAAAACAAUAGCCUUUUCCACAAAAGGGACAACUGGAUAUCCAUAUGCUCAAGAAUGAAGUUGGACUCAAACUCACACAAAAUAAAAGAAUUCUCUCAAAAUGAAUAAAGAGCCUAAAAAGGCCAGGCGCGGUGUAAUCCCAGCACUUUGGGAGGCCGAGCCAAGUAUCUUCAAGACCUUCUCAUGGAGAGUGUGAAUUUUUCCCCCGCCAAUCUCUCUAGCACUGGUUCCAGGUAUCUGAAUGCUUUGGUUGACAGUGCGGUGGCCCUUGAAACAAAGGAUACCUCGCUAGCUAGUUUUAUCCCUGCAGUGAAUGAUUUGACCUCUGAUCUCUUUCGUACCAAAUCCAAAAGUGAAGAAAUCAAGAUUGAACUGGAAAAACUUGAAAAAAAUCUAACUGCAACUUUAGUAUUAGAAAAAUGUCUACAAGAGGAUGUCAAGAAAGCAGAAUUGCAUCUGUCUACAGAAAGGGCCAAAGUUGAUAAUCGUCGUCAGAACAUGGACUUUCUAAAAGCAAAGUCAGAGGAAUUCAGAUUUGGAAUCAAGGCUGCAGAGGAGCAACUUUCAGCCAGAGGCAUGGAUGCUUCUCUGUCUCAUCAGUCCCUAGUAGCACUAUCAGAGAAACUGGCAAGAUUAAAGCAACAGACUAUACCUUUGAAGAAAAAAUUGGAGUCCUAUUUAGACUUAAUGCCGAAUCCAUCUCUUGCUCAAGUGAAAAUUGAAGAAGCAAAGCGAGAACUAGAUAGCAUUGAAGCUGAACUUACAAGAAGAGUAGACAUGAUGGAACUGUAACAAGAACCAAAUAAACAUCCUUUUCCCUAACAAAGUAAAUCGAAUAGGACUUUACAGAGUUCUUUUUCCUCUUGGCAUUUCCUAAUAACAAAAUUUUCUGUGUUCCUAGAUUACAGAAUAUCAUAAUUGAUAGAAUAUGGUUUC
rnacentral:sRNA from 1 species